UGACUGUCUGAACAGAACCUUUGCCAAAGCUUUUUGUUCCGACAACGAUCCCUCUCCUGUGAUCUUUUAAAGCUGCAGCUACAAUUUCCGAUGCGGAGGCAGAUCCACCAUUAAUUAGGACAACAAUUGGUUUUCCAUCUAUUAAGUCCCCUGGUGUCGCAUUGUAUCUGUCUCCAUCUUCAGGGUUUCUGCCUCGUGUGGAAACAAUCUCACCCUUCUCUAAAAAGGCAUCUGAAACACGUAUCGCUUGGGAUAGUAAACCACCUGGAUUAUUGCGUAA
rnacentral:ncRNA from 1 species